rnacentral:rRNA from 1 species
UACAGGGGGUGCAAACGUUGCUCGGAAUUAUUGGGCGUAAAGCGCGCGUAGGCGGCUACUUAAGUCGGAUGUGAAAGCCCCUGGCUCAACCGGGGAAGUGCACCCGAAACUGAGCAGCUAGAGUACGAAAGAGGGUCGCGGAAUUCCCGGUGUAGAGGUGAAAUUCGUAGAUAUCGGGAGGAACACCAGUGGCGAAGGCGGCGACCUGGGCCAAUAUUGACGCUGAGGUGCGAAAGCGUGGGGAGCAAACAGG